rnacentral:rRNA from 1 species
AACUUAAGCAUAUCAU